AGUCUCCCUUGCCAUUAUCAAAGAUGGCGGUCAGGUACUCGGCCGCCUCUCUGCGAGAAAAGGGCAGAGGUUGGUGCCAUGUUAUAUAGAGUCCGACUGGAAACAUCUUCAGGGAAGUGAAGAUCUCGAGAGAAAAAAGCUUCCGGAUUUGUUGUUUUUUUAAAGCCAACCGGGUAAGGGAAGAAGCUCAGUAUUUUGAUGUGAUUCUGUUUUGUGCUUUAUUAUUUGUGUAUUUUAUCAGAAAGCAAAGAGCUUGGAUUAGCCCAACCUGAAGGAGAAGAUUCACCCACGCCCUCCUCUGAGAAGCGCCGCACUGCUGAAGCAGGGGAGGCAAUUUUUAUUUACAUAUUUGUAAACUGUGAGGAUCAGUAGUCAAAUUCAGAAUCAGACUUGAAUGCAGCUGAUCCUGGAGCUGUACACCCACAUUCAAACAGUGGAACGUAUAUCUAGACACACAUACUGUAACCAGUCUAUAAACACAUGUACACAAAGUGAGUACAUUGACUUUAGCAACUGAGUGACUCUUGUGAUCAGUUUUGCUGCUGCUUCCCCCCACAAAAAUCCUCUUGUUCCUCGAGGGUGUCUCUGAUAUGUGGGGCUUACCUGUGAUCCCCUUGCUGAUUAAUUUUUGUGGUGCUCUCCUGGGGUUCGUGGCUACCCUGACGCUGAUCCCAGCCUUCAAGGAUCAUUUCAUUGCUGCCAAGCUCUUCGGGAUAGAUUUGAACAAAACUUCUAAACAGCCCAUUCCUGAAUCCCAAGGUGUGAUCAGUGGGGCUGUGUUCCUGAUCAUCCUUUUCUGCUUUAUUCCCGUGCCUUUUCUGAGCUGUUUUGUAGAGGAGCAGUGCAAGGCAUUUCCACACGAUGAGUUUGUGGAGUUCAUUGGCUCCCUUCUUGCCAUCUGCUGCAUGAUCUUCCUGGGCUUUGCAGAUGAUGUUCUGAACCUGCGCUGGCGACACAAGCUGCUACUUCCUACCAUGGCCUCCCUUCCUCUGCUAAUGGUCUACUUCACUAACUUUGGGAACACAACUGUUGUGGUGCCCAAGCCCUUCCGGGUGUUAUUGGGGAUGCACUUGGACCUGGGUAUCCUGUACUAUGUGUACAUGGGCAUGCUAGCAGUGUUUUGCACCAACGCCAUCAACAUUCUUGCUGGAAUUAAUGGGCUUGAGGCAGGACAGUCUCUGGUGAUAGCUGCUUCCAUCAUCACAUUCAAUGUUGUUGAAUUAAAUGGAGACUAUAGAGAUGAUCACAUUUUUUCUCUCUACUUCAUGAUUCCUUUUUUCUUUACUACUCUGGGGCUGCUUUAUCACAACUGGUAUCCAUCCAGCGUGUUUGUAGGCGACACCUUCUGCUAUUUUGCUGGUAUGACGUUUGCUGUGGUGGGGAUCCUUGGGCACUUCAGUAAGACAAUGCUGCUCUUCUUCAUCCCACAAGUGCUCAACUUCCUUUACUCUUUGCCUCAGCUCUUCCACAUCAUUCCUUGUCCUCGUCAUCGGCUGCCCAGGUUCAAUCCUGGUACAGGGAAGCUGGAGAUGAGUUAUUCUAAAUUCAGAACCAAAAGUCUUUCAGCACUGGGAAAGUAUAUUCUAAAGGUAUCAGAGACCUUACAUAUAGUGGAUGUGAGACAGGAAUUGGAUGAAGAUGAAGAAUACACAGAGUGCAAUAACAUGACACUCAUUAACUUUGUUAUAAAGCUUAUUGGACCAGCUCCAGAGCAAACCCUCACUAUCCUACUACUGCUCAUCCAGGUCAGGCAAAUACUCCCUCAGGGAGGAGGACGACGUACUCCACAGUGGAUGUGGAUCCACACUAAACUUCUCGAGCAUUGGGAACAUAUGAUUCUACCCCUGUACUCCUUCCCUUCUAUCACACCAACAAGCUUGCUAUUGCCUGGAUUGAUUCUCACCUCCCCAGGGUAGCUCUGCUCUAAAGAACCAUACUGCUAGGGAGGUGGUGGAAUCUCCCUCCUUAGAGGUUUUUAAGGUAGUGGGCAGCACAACUGCAUUUUUGAUCCGGUACCAACUAGUACGCUUGUUCUAUGAUGUUUGACUGAG